rnacentral:rRNA from 1 species
ACCACCACCGGCGAACCAGUCCCCGCGGAAAACGCCGCUCGCGGCGCGCGGCCCCGCGCGUCCCGGCGAGCUCCGAACAACCCUCUGGGCGCGGCGAGCGCCAAGGAAUCGAAGCGGAAAGGGCGGCCGCCUCGCCCGGCGCGGGCGCGCCCCGAAAGGGGACGCGGCACCGCGGCGGGGAUCCGCCGCCCGUCUGUGAAUCUCUUAGACGACUCUCGGCAACGGAUAUCUCGGCUCUCGCAUCGAUGAAGAACGUAGCGAAAUGCUAUACUUGGUGUGAAUUGCAGAAUCCCGUGAACCAUCGAGUCUUUGAACGCAAGUUGCGCCCGAGGCCACUCGGCCGAGGGCACGCCUGCCUGGGCGUCACGCCACCCAUCGCCCCCCCCGGGGAAUCCCAUGCCCCGCCGGGGAGCGGAGACUGGCCGUCCGUGCCCGAGCCCUCGGCGCGCGGUCGGCAGAAAAGGAGGGCACCGUGCGGCGCGACACGGCGUGUGGGGGUUGAGAGGCGAUCCGUCGCCGAUCGUACGUCGCGCCCGCAUUCCGCCGCCCGGUGCCGCCCGUGGGACCAGACUCCGCCCGCAGCCGCGGGCGCUCGGACCGCGAC